CCUACGGGAGGCAGCAGUGAGGAAUAUUGGGCAAUGGACGAGAGUCUGAACCAGCCAAGUAGCGUGAAGGAUGACUGCCCUAUGGGUUGUAAACUUCUUUUAUAUGGGAAUAAAAUGUUCCACGUGUGGGAUUUUGUAUGUACCAUAUGAAUAAGGAUCGGCUAACUCCGUGCCAGCAGCCGCGGUAAUACGGAGGAUCCGAGCGUUAUCCGGAUUUAUUGGGUUUAAAGGGAGCGUAGGUGGAUUGUUUAGUCAGGUGUGAAAGUUUGCGGCUCAACCGUAAAAUUGCAGUUGAAACUGGCAGUCGUGAGUACAGUAGAGGUGAGCGGAAUUCGUGGUGUAGCGGUGAAAUGCUUAGAUAUCACGAAGAACUCCGAUUGCGAAGGCAGCUCACUGGCCUGCAACUGACACUGAGGCUCGAAAGUGUGGGUAUCAAACAGGAUUAGAUACCCCAGUAGUC
rnacentral:rRNA from 1 species